GCAGAGAUGUGUUUCCAGCAGGUUCUGCUGCCCGCCCCAGGGGUGACCUUGGGAGCUUUGCAGCAACUUGGUGUCUCCUAAGUCGCCAGAGAGAAGUUGCCUUGUUGUACUGAGUGCUGAGGAGGGGACACUGGGUGGCUUCCCUGGGCAAGCUAGUUGCUGAGCAGCACAGGCCCUUGCAUUUUUCUGGGUUGUCCCCAUGUUUCAUUCCUCCCCUUCCCGGACAGUAUUUGAACAAUACGUAUUUUACUAAAGGACUCACGGAUUGCAGGGUCCCACAACAUCACCUCAUAGAUGCAGUGGAUAGUUUGUUCCAGAUUCAGGCUUGUUUCCAGGAAGAAAUCCUGACAGAAAUUCAGAAGAACGGGAGCUGCAUUCCGUUAGGACGUGAAUACAUGAAAUGUUCGUCUCAGGACCUUCUAGAAGAAUGAGCUGGGACCCACUUUCCGAGUCCUGCUGGAACCAGAGACCGAGGCCGCUGCUAUGACACCCGACAGGGAACCUGAAGUAGAGAGGGAUCCAGGAGCAGCCCAGCUACUCUUGGCUCCCAAAAGUAGUCACCCUGCAACUCUUUAUGAAAGAGGAGAAAACAUCACCACCACCACCACCACCACUACCAUUUCAUAACCCUGCACUGAAUGUGGAUACAACAAGAACUCACUCCCAAAAGGAAACUCCAGCAGGGUACAUGUACAGAACCUACAGUGUUGGUCAAGUAUUUUGGAUCACUAAGUGAGAUUGUACUUUUGACUGCUGAAGAAGCACGCAUCACUUAAGGCUUGCAUCUUCCCUCUACCUCUAUACUCCAAGUUCCUGGCUGGCACUGGAAUUACAUCCUUAGCAUGGGCAUCAUGCCCUCCAGGUGAGAAGAUAAAAAGGUAUUGGAAGACAAGUGUAAUGCAUUGAGGUCUGUGAAAGCCACAAAGGAACAAAAGUUAAACAGCUGAAGGAGAAAGCACAUAACCUGGAAGAAUUUUAUGAACAAAGAAAAGUGCCUACAGAAAAGAAGCUGAAAAUGACACUGAACCAGCGGCAAAGAAGAAUCAGCUGGCAGCUGCAGGUAAAACUUGAAAAUAGCUACAGAAGGGGCGCCCGGGUGGCUCAGUUGUUUAAGCGUCCAACUUCAGCUCAGGUCAUAAUUUCACAGUCUGUGACUUCAAGCAUCGUGUCAGGCUCUGUGCUGACAGGUCAGAGCCUGAAGCCAGCUUCGGAUUCUGUUACCUC